rnacentral:rRNA from 1 species
AGAGCGAACGCUGGCGGCAGGCCUAAUACAUGCAAGUCGAACGGAUCCUUCGGGAUUAGUGGCGGACGGGUGAGUAAUACGUGGGAACGUACCCUUUGGUUCGGAACAACUCAGGGAAACUUGAGCUAAUACCGAAUGUGCCCUUCGGGGAAAAGAUUUAUCGCCAUUGGAGCGGCCCGCGUCUGAUUAGCUAGUUGGUAGGGUAAAGGCCUACCAAGGCUACGAUCAGUAGCUGGUCUGAGAGGAUGAUCAGCCACACUGGGACUGAGACACGGCCCAGACUCCUACGGGAGGCAGCAGUAGGGAAUCUUGCGCAAUGGGCGAAAGCCUGACGCAGCCAUGCCGCGUGAAUGAUGAAGGUCUUAGGAUUGUAAAAUUCUUUCAGCGGGGACGAUAAUGACGGUACCCGCAGAAGAGCCCCGGCUAACUUCGUGCCAGCAGCCGC